AAAAAAGGUAAGCUACUAAGAGCGAAUGGUGGAUGCCUUGACUGGUAAAGGCGAUGAAGGACGUACUAGACUGCGAUAAGCUACGGGGAGCUGUCAAGAAGCUUUGAUCCGUAGAUUUCCGAAUGGGGCAACCCAAUGUAUAGAGAUAUACAUUACCUAUAUAGGAGCGAACGAGGGGAAUUGAAACAUCUUAGUACCCUCAGGAAAAGAAAUCAAUAGAGAUUGCGUCAGUAGCGGCGAGCGAAAGCGCAAGAGGGCAAACCCAGUGCUUGCACUGGGGGUUGUAGGACUGCAAUGUGCAAGAGCUGAGUUUAGCAGAACAUUCUGGAAAGUAUAGCCAUAGAGGGUGAUAGUCCCGUAUGCGAAAAACAAAGCUUAGCUAGCAGUAUCCUGAGUAGGGCGGGACACGAGGAAUCCUGUCUGAAUCCGGGUCGACCACGAUCCAACCCUAAAUACUAAUACCAGAUCGAUAGUGCACAAGUACCGUGAGGGAAAGGUGAAAAGAACUGAGGUGAUCAGAGUGAAAUAGAACCUGAAACCAUUUGCUUACAAUCAUUCAGAGCACUAUGUAGCAAUACAGUGUGAUGGACUGCCUUUUGCAUAAUGAGCCUGCGAGUUGUGGUGUCUGGCAAGGUUAAGCAAACGCGAAGCCGUAGCGAAAGCGAGUCUGAAUAGGGCGCUUAGUCAGAUGCUGCAGACCCGAAACGAAGUGAUCUAUCCAUGAGCAAGUUGAAGCUAGUGUAAGAACUAGUGGAGGACUGAACCCAUAGGCGUUGAAAAGCCCCGGGAUGACUUGUGGAUAGGGGUGAAAGGCCAAUCAAACUUCGUGAUAGCUGGUUCUCUCCGAAAUAUAUUUAGGUAUAGCGUUGUGUCGUAAUAUAAGGGGGUAGAGCACUGAAUGGGCUAGGGCAUACACCAAUGUACCAAACCCUAUCAAACUCCGAAUACCUUAUAUGUAAUCACAGCAGUCAGGCGGCGAGUGAUAAAAUCCGUCGUCAAGAGGGAAACAACCCAGACUACCAGCUAAGGUCCCUAAAUCUUACUUAAGUGGAAAACGAUGUGAAGUUACUUAAACAACCAGGAGGUUGGCUUAGAAGCAGCCAUCCUUUAAAGAAAGCGUAAUAGCUCACUGGUCUAGUGAUUUUGCGCGGAAAAUAUAACGGGGCUAAAGUAAGUACCGAAGCUGUAGACUUGCACACAACUUAGAUUAUUUAAGUUUAGAAUAUGAGAAACUAAGUUAUAUGUUUAGUUAUAUUUUUACUGAUUUUUAUAGAGUAAAGAUAGAAAUAAAGCUUAGUAAAAUCAGUAAAAAUAUUCUUAGGCUAAAGUUAAGUAGUUUAAGUUGUGUGCAAGUGGUAGGAGAGCGUUCUAUUUGCGUCGAAGGUAUACCGGUAAGGAGUGCUGGAGCGAAUAGAAGUGAGCAUGCAGGCAUGAGUAGCGAUAAUUAAUGUGAGAAUCAUUAACGCCGUAAACCCAAGGUUUCCUACGCGAUGCUCGUCAUCGUAGGGUUAGUCGGGUCCUAAGUCGAGUCCGAAAGGGGUAGACGAUGGCAAAUUGGUUAAUAUUCCAAUACCAACAUUAGUGUGCGAUGGAAGGACGCUUAGGGCUAAGGGGGCUAGCGGAUGGAAGUGCUAGUCUAAGGUUGUAGGAGGUUAUACAGGCAAAUCCGUAUAACAAUACUCCGAGAACUGAAAGGCUUUUUGAAGUCUUCGGAUGGAUAGAAGAACCCCUGAUGCCGUCGAGCCAAGAAAAGUUUCUAAGUUUAGCUAAUGUUGCCCGUACCGUAAACCGACACAGGUGGGUGGGAUGAGUAUUCUAAGGCGCGUGGAAGAACUCUCUUUAAGGAACUCUGCAAAAUAGCACCGUAUCUUCGGUAUAAGGUGUGGUUAGCUUCGUACUAGGAUUUGACUUCGAAAGCGAAGAAACUUACAACAAAGAGUCCCUCCCGACUGUUUACCAAAAACACAGCACUCUGCUAACUCGUAAGAGGAUGUAUAGGGUGUGACGCCUGCCCGGUGCUCGAAGGUUAAUUGAUGGGGUUAGCAUUAGCGAAGCUCUUGAUCGAAGCCCGAGUAAACGGCGGCCGUAACUAUAACGGUCCUAAGGUAGCGAAAUUCCUUGUCGGUUAAAUACCGACCUGCAUGAAUGGCGUAACGAGAUGGGAGCUGUCUCAAAGAGGGAUCCAGUGAAAUUGUAGUGGAGGUGAAAAUUCCUCCUACCCGCGGCAAGACGGAAAGACCCCGUGGACCUUUACUACAGCUUGACACUGCUACUUGGAUAAGAAUGUGCAGGAUAGGUGGGAGGCUUUGAGUAUAUGACGCCAGUUGUAUAUGAGCCAUUGUUGAGAUACCACUCUUUCUUAUUUGGGUAGCUAACCAGCUUGAGUUAUCCUCAAGUGGGACAAUGUCUGGUGGGUAGUUUGACUGGGGCGGUCGCCUCCCAAAUAAUAACGGAGGCUUACAAAGGUUGGCUCAGAACGGUUGGAAAUCGUUCGUAGAGUAUAAAGGUAUAAGCCAGCUUAACUGCAAGACAUACAAGUCAAGCAGAGACGAAAGUCGGUCUUAGUGAUCCGGUGGUUCUGUGUGGAAGGGCCAUCGCUCAAAGGAUAAAAGGUACCCCGGGGAUAACAGGCUGAUCUCCCCCAAGAGCUCACAUCGACGGGGAGGUUUGGCACCUCGAUGUCGGCUCAUCGCAUCCUGGGGCUGGAGCAGGUCCCAAGGGUAUGGCUGUUCGCCAUUUAAAGCGGUACGCGAGCUGGGUUCAGAACGUCGUGAGACAGUUCGGUCCCUAUCUGCCGUGGGCGUAAGAAGAUUGAAGAGAUUUGACCCUAGUACGAGAGGACCGGGUUGAACAAACCACUGGUGUAGCUGUUGUUCUGCCAAGAGCAUCGCAGCGUAGCUAAGUUUGGAAAGGAUAAACGCUGAAAGCAUCUAAGCGUGAAGCCAACUCUAAGAUGAAUCUUCUCUAAGCUCUCUAGAAGACUACUAGUUUGAUAGGCUGGGUGUGUAAUGGAUGAAAGUCCUUUAGCUGACCAGUACUAAUAGAGCGUUUGGCUUAUCUUUAAUAAAGCAU
rnacentral:rRNA from 1 species